UACGUAGGGGGGCUAGCGUUGUCCGGAAUCAUUGGGCGUAAAGCGCGCGUAGGCGGCCAGAUAAGUCCGGUGUGAAAGUCACAGGCUCAACCUGUGAAUGCCGCUGGAAACUGUCUGGCUUGAGUCCGGAAGGGGCGAGUGGAAUUCCUGGUGUAGCGGUGAAAUGCGCAGAUAUCAGGAGGAACACCAAUGGCGAAGGCAGCUCGCUGGAACGGGUACUGACGCUGAGGCGCGAAAGCGUGGGGAGCGAACAGG
rnacentral:rRNA from 1 species